UACGUAUGGUGCAAGCGUUAUCCGGAUUUACUGGGUGUAAAGGGAGCGCAGGCGGCGCGUUAAGCCUGGUGUGAAAGCCCGCGGCCCAACCGCGGGACUGCAUUGGGAACUGGCGCGCUGGAGUGCCGGAGGGGUAGGCGGAAUUCCUAGUGUAGCGGUGAAAUGCAUAGAUAUUAGGAGGAACACCAGUGGCGAAGGCGGCCUACUGGACGGUGACUGACGCUGAGGCUCGAAAGCGUGGGGAGCAAACAGG
rnacentral:rRNA from 1 species